ensembl:lncRNA
GAGACAAUGAAUCUGUUUCUGAAUAUGUCCAGCGUCCAUACCAUAUAGAAUUGGAAUGAGUAGAGUGGGCGGUCAUUGCGAGUGUAACCAUAGAAGCAAAGCAGGAAGUAAAAACAGGAAGUGUACCAAUCAAUCUUUGUUGUGAUUUGUUGAAUGAACUCAACUGACAUUACAAAAAAAAUACAGUCCACAGCAUGAGCCACAUCAAUUAGCAUAAUUUGAAUAAACAUUCUACAUUACCAUGGAAAUGAUUGCAUCACAAUACCAGGGAGCCUUCUGAUUGGCUGAGAAAGAAGUCUGUGUCCAGGCAAAAGCCAAUGAUCAAGGAUUCUGAAACCAUUGAGCGAAUUGUAACUGGAUAAAGCUGGACUGCAAUUGGCCAAAAGUAGGGGGAGGUUAAACUUUGGGAAGGGAUGGUUGAGGGGGUGAACAAUGGUUUUGGUAAAUAGUGGUUGUUUAACAUUGGAUUUCCUGGUCACGGUCGUAGUUGUGGUUCUGGUUGUGGUCUUAGCUUUGACAGUUGCUUGUGGUCGUGGUGGUUUUGUGGUCAGAUGUUUGGGGGGGGUCAUAGGUGACCUGUCCAUGUUGCAGUUGUAGCUUUGACCAUUAGAGGUGGUGGUGGGGUUAGGGGUAUGACUCCUCCCCAGGGUGGUGGUGGUGGUGUGGUUAGGGGGUAUGACUCCUCCCAGGGUGGUGGUGGUGGGGUUAGGGGGUGUGACUCCUCCCCAGGGUGGUGGUGGUGGUGGGGGGUGUGACUCCUCCCCAGGGUGGUGGUGGUGGUGUGGUUAGGGG